rnacentral:rRNA from 1 species
GACGAACGCUGGCGGCGUGCUUAACACAUGCAAGUCGAACGAAGUGGCGAACGGGUGAGUAACGCGUAAUCAACCUGCCCUUCAGAGGGUGACAACAGUUUGAAACGUCUGCUAAUACCGCAUACGGAAGGAGGGGAUUGCGUCGGAUUAGCUCGUUGGAGGGGUAAUGGCCCACCAAGGCGAUGAUCAGUAGCCGGUCUGGACGGGUGAACGGCCACAUUGGGACUGGGACACGGCCCAGACUCCUACGGGGGGCAGCAGUGGGGAAUCUUCCGCAAUGGACGAAAGUCUGACGGAGCAACGCCGCGUGAGUGAUGACGGCCUUCGGGUUGUAAAGCUCUGUUAAUCGGGACGCGGUACCGGAAUAGAAAGCCACGGCUAACUACGUGCCAGCCGCCGCGGUAAUAC